rnacentral:rRNA from 1 species
CCUACGGGGGGCUGCAGUGGGGAAUAUUGCACAAUGGAGGGAACUCUGAUGCAGCGACGCCGCGUGAGUGAAGAAGGUCUUCGGAUCGUAAAACUCUGUCCUUGGUGAAGAAAAGGACGGUAGCCAAGGAGGAAGCCCCGGCUAACUACGUGCCAGCAGCCGCGGUAAUACGUAGGGGGCGAGCGUUGUCCGGAUUUACUGGGCGUAAAGGGUGAGUAGGCGGUUAUAUAUGUCAGGUGUAAAAGAUCAUGGCUCAACCAUGGUUGGCACUUGAAACUGUAUGACUUGAGUGCAGGAGAGGUAAGCGGAAUUCCUAGUGUAGCGGUGAAAUGCGUAGAUAUUAGGAGGAACACCAGUGGCGAAGGCGGCUUACUGGACUGUAACUGACGCUGAGACACGAAAGCGUGGGUAGCAAACAGGAUUAGAUACCCCGGUAGUC